GGGAGCUAGCAUGUGAUCGUUGUUCUUACUGAUUUAUAGAAUAUGUUAUGAUUUUGAUAAAUUGAGUGAAUGCAUGUGUACUGUUUAAUUUCUAUUUUGAUGCUAAAGUUGGAAUGUUGGAACGUAAUUGUUGUACUGUUGAUUUUUGUAUGGUGUUUAUGAUUUUGAAGAAUGGGUAUGUGUGAGAUUGGAUGUAUGAAGAGAAACAAUUAUGAAUUACUAUACAAAAGUAGAAGAUGAGGAUUAGGUCCUGUUGUAUGUAUUUUAGGUAUGAUUUAGGAACUAGGAUAGCCAAAUUUUGGGUUUGAGUUUAUAGUUAGGUUUGGUCAGUUUAGGAAGUGGGUAUAAGUCAUAUAUGACUUGUAUGAAGUGUGCAUUUAGUCAAAACUGCAUUCUAAGUGCUAGAACUGAAAUUGGACCUAUAAGUUGUUGAAACUUGAGAAAUUGAGUCUAAAAUGAUGCAUAAUUAAUAGUUUAAGAGGUUUAUAAGCAAUUAGACACCUUAGACAAGUUUAAAUCAUCAUAUAAUUCGAGUUAGGAUCAUUAGAAGUGCACCAAUUGACCUAUAACAAGUUUUGGGUGGCUGUGUUCUGCAAAUCUGCAGAAUUGGGAAUCUGCAGAAGUGCAGAUUCGCUGAGCGAGAGUUCUCGCACAGCGAGAACUCAAAAUUUUUGUGUUUUCCAGCAAAAAUUCGCACAGCGCACCAGUAAGUGUGCGCUCAGCGAAUUUUCUGCGACAGAAAGUGUAUUUUUGAUGUUUUUGACGUUUUGG
rnacentral:lncRNA from 1 species